rnacentral:rRNA from 1 species
CCUACGGGAGGCAGCAGUGGGGAAUAUUGCACAAUGGGGGAAACCCUGAUGCAGCGACGCCGCGUGAGUGAAGAAGUAAUUCGUUAUGUAAAGCUCUAUCAGCAGGGAAGAAAAUGACGGUACCUGAGUAAGAAGCCCCGGCUAACUACGUGCCAGCAGCCGCGGUAAUACGUAGGGGGCAAGCGUUAUCCGGAUUUACUGGGUGUAACGGGAGCGUAGACGGCAGUGCAAGUCUGGAGUGAAAGGCGGGGGCUCAACCCCCGGAAUGCUCUGGAAACUGUACGGCUGGAGUGCAGGAGAGGUAAGUGGAAUUCCUAGUGUAGCGGUGAAAUGCGUAGAUAUUAGGAGGAACACCAGUUGCGAAGGCGGCUUACUGGACUGUAACUGACGUUGAGGCUCGAAAGCGUGGGGAGCAAACAGGAUUAGAUACCCGUGUAGUC